GAGACCCGUACCCACAGUUGCCAGCGGCUGCUCCGGCAGGCUGGGUACACUAUGGGGACCGCCUCUGCUAAAGAGGAGGAAGGAGCGGGCGACGGUAGGUCAGUAUGCCCCGAAUUCUCCGGGCUACACGCGGGCUACAAUGGAUGGGACAAUGGGCUCCGACACCGAAAGGUGAAGGCAAUCUCUUAAACCCAUCCUUAGUUCGGAUUGUGGGCUGCAACUCGCCCACAUGAAGCUGGAAUCUGUAGUAAUCGUGUCUCAACAUGGCACGGUGAAUAU
rnacentral:rRNA from 1 species